UACAGAGGUCUCAAGCGUUGUUCGGAUUCAUUGGGCGUAAAGGGUGCGUAGGCGGCGCGGUAAGUCGGGUGUGAAAUCUUGGAGCUUAACUCCGAAACUGCAUUCGAUACUGCCGUGCUUGAGGACUGGAGAGGAGACUGGAAUUUACGGUGUAGCGGUGAAAUGCGUAGAUAUCGUAAGGAAGACCAGUGGCGAAGGCGGGUCUCUGGACAGCUCCUGACACUGAGACACGAAGGCCAGGGGAGCAAACGGG
rnacentral:rRNA from 1 species